UGCCUUUGUUAGAGAUGGCAUUGUUCAACAGUCUUUCAUAUUCAAGACGCGGUAGCGUGAACGUGCUACGGAAUACUUACCUACUUGAACGUUACAAUUUUUGUGUUUAGCAAGUGUUUUAGCGAUUGGUAAGAAGUGCUAGAUGCUGGAUAAAAUAUAAAAUCUAAUUAUUCGAAAGUCGACUUGUAAAUUAUCUAUAAAAAGGAUUUAUUCAGAGAUGGACCAUACGGCAACCAGAUAGAUUAUUCCACAUGUGGAAAACCCUCCCCUGAUGCACUUCGUGAUACACAAAGAAGCUUCUUCCAGUAACACAAUUCCUCACAAAUUCUUUUCCAUGCUGUUAUGGUAAGUUUUUACCCUAUUUCUUUUUGAUUAUUUACUAUUGCUGUAUUAUUUGUUAUAAUGUCCGCAUUUUAAUCGUAAAAUGCAGUUUCAUUUUUAAAAAAGUGAUACAGUAUAUUCAUUCGUUACCUUUUCUAUUUAUUAAUCAAAAAUUAUGAAUGAAAAAACACAAAUCUCAGUUCUCAGAUUCUGUUGCAAGUCAUUACAAUUAGAUAUGGACAUGAUUUGAAUAAUGUACCGGGUCUGAUAUCUACAAAAUCGCCUAAAACUUUCAAUUUUUAUAUGUAUUUUAUAUGUAGAUAUUUUAUUAUACACAGAAAUUUAUUAUACAUAGAAACCUAACCUCAAUAUUUAACCAAUGGCGAAACAGAAAGCGGCAGAAUAUCUCACGUGAGAUUGAUGUUAUCAGAAAAAGUUUUAACAAAAGUUGUUUAGUUCGGAUGAAGACAUUACAUACGGAGCAAAUUACUUUUUUGUAGAUCCAGUAGUAGGGUUUCAUUUCAACUUCAUUUUUACAAAUGGAACCAUAUAUUUUUUUAAUACAUUCAUCGAUCAAUCUUUGUAUUUCUUAUGAAAAAAUUAAAAAGAUCUAGUUCUUAGGUCUUAGUUUACCAGAUAUCUUAACUUGAAUUCAUCGUAUGAAAGCCAGGUAAGGACGCGAAACGGCACUCUUGUGUUUACGUUGUACCUGUUUUUCGUUUAUUUCUGCGUAAACACAAUACUGCUUCGUGUCAUGUGUUUAUCUUUCAUACGACAAUUUAAACGGAAGAUAUAAUUUAAAUUAACAAUUUUUCGACAUAAAUAGGUUAAUAUUUUUUUAUAUGAUAUGAAACGUUACGUUAUCGGUUACACUACUGUUGUUUACAAAGCACGAGUUUCGGCUGAUUGGUAGGUUAAAAAAAAAAACAAUAACAAGAAAGAACCGAUUCGGAAGGACGAACCUUUCGUUUACCUCCGAAUCUUUCAUCAAACAGGUCAUAUUGUAGGAUGUUAACAUACUUUCCGCGGUGAACGUAUGUAAUAUUGUUUAUGAAUAUUGUUUUGUUAUAGUUAUUAACUAUACUUAUUGUUAUAUAUAUUUAUAUUGUACUAUAAGAAUGUAGCCUAAAAUCCGCCUGUUUUAAACCCCCUCCUUUAAUAUGUAAUAAUGUAAAUAAUUAUGUAAUUAGAUACUUGUAGACAUGAACGCACAAAAGAUAUAUGGAUGCUAACAUUAUUUCGUUUAACGGAAUCAUCGAACAACACAAACAAUUCCUUUUCACAUUAUUUUCCGAGAUAAGAAGGCGCAGUUCCGUUUUUAACGGAAACUACGAGGGUUGUCUGACCCAUCUCAUUAUUUUCCAUUUAUAAUUUCUAUAAAAAACUAAAUCGUCACCGCGAUGUGUGUAUUAUCGUCUGCUUAUACUUUAACUCGUACCUCCCGUCCCGACAUCUGCACGCUGCUUGAACGGAGAGCACAUCAAAAUCAGCUUCGCACUUAAUGUUUUAAAUACCAUUGUAUUACCGUUAUCGAUAUGAUUCACAUAUUUCACACAUCAUAAUUUUUUUGAGAGCAAAAAUAUUUCAGUCAUAGCGUCUACCCCCAAUUUUUCUGCACUUUUCUCUUGUGGUUGACAGAACAUUCAUAAGCAUCUGUUUCCUUCCAUUUUUUAUGUUCUGGAGUUUCUUCCCUUUCCUUCCAAUACUAAAUUGAGUGUCAGGAAGCAUAUUUUACUUUGUGAAGGGAUGCCUUGUUCAGUGAAGUAUGUUAUAUUAUAGAACUUAUACAGGUCUUGUAUCUUUACAAUAUCACUUUUUUAAUUUCUGAUAUAGAUGUCCACAGCUCAUAGUACUUUCUGAAACACAGGAUGCACCUAACUCGCUUUUCUUUCCCCGCGUUAUUUGAAAACUUAUUAUCACAUAUAAAACAGCUCACAGGUUUGAUAAUUUCGAUCGAUGACUCUAUGUCGGAUUUCUUUCUGAUAAACACGUUCCUGAUUUCGUUCUUUCGUAUCUUUCUCGAGGUAUGAAAUUAGGCAGGAAACCAUUUUCUGAGCGUGAGAGUUCAAGAAGCGAGAGAACAGGAUUGCCAGUUUUGAAUAUGAAAAUAGAAGCAAUGUGCAUCAAAACUAAAGCUUAGAAUUGAGGUGUGAGUGUUGUCCGGAUAGUUGUAACUGCUGGCUGUAGAUGUCGCUAAUGGGAUACUGCUGCAUUUUUGGCCAAAUUAAGUCUUGUGCAAGAAAAAUCGGACUACGGACUCCGGGAUUUGAACCUGGAUCCCGAACGUUUGUAAUCUCUGCGCUGCCGUUGUCCGGUCCUAGUUGGUGUCGAGUGCCGCUACAGAAUUAUAUACUUUAGUUGAAAUACGAUCUCAAAUGUUAGGAAAUAACGUAGUAUACCACUAGCGAAAAAAUACAGCGCUACAGAAACCUCUCGAAACGCAUUUCUUUUCGUUUGCUGUUACUUUUCUAGCGAUAUAUCUAUUUCAAAUUCCGAUUGCCGCUCAUAGAUUGGUGCACUUAACAGGAGUACAAGUCCCCCUUGAUACCAUUCAAUUUCUAUAUGAAACAUUUUGCCCUAUUUUUAUACGUAUAGAAAUAAUAGCGCAUAUACACUUAAAAUGGACAUAUUGUAUACGUUAUGACUUUAUGACUUAUGACUGUUUAAUGUAAUUAUAACGGUAUUUACAUGUAGAUUCUAUCUCAAAAAACAUGAAAUUUAAGAAAAAAUAUUAAAUUGAAGUUAAGUUUCGCUUGCGAUGAACCAAGUAUCUAACUGAGGUUGGUGAUGCGUGUGAUUUCGAUACCCAAUCUUGCAGAGAUUCUUCGUAGCGAAUCUGUUGACCAGCUAAACCCGUUUAACCUUUCUUACUACCCGUUUCACACCUCAGAAGUUAGGAAAAAAUUAAUACUGGCAAAUAAGAAGGAAAUCGUGGCGCUCGUGAGAUUUUCGUUUAAAGUAUUUUUACUUUGCGUUGGCCCUAACUUUUCUAUAGUCUAAAUCGAGCGUACGAUCUCUAAAUAAAUCGGGAAGGAUAUACGUUGCGCUGACAUAACUCCUUCUCUCUUAAAUGUGAUAUCGUUCGUUGGGAUGCUUUCACAAUCGUAGAUCGAACGCGUGGUAAGAAAAUGUUGAAGCGAACUAUUGCACUGUAGCCUGCGUGUUUCUAUGUGUAUAUGUAGGACUUAUCGUUGCAUCUUUUGUGUGUGUAAAUUUUCCUUGGCUACGGUCCAUUCCUUGAAGAAAAUGGUCAGCUGCUAUCGGCUGUAAUGUUUAGCUUGGACAAUUGAUGUGUCAAUUCUUUAUUUUCACGACAGACUGUGCAGGAUCACUCACGGAAUGACUCAAUUACGAUACAGCUUGAUUCCGUUCUUGCUUGUUCUUCCAGAACGUUUUUAUCCUAACAGUUUCAAUCUUCAUUUUAUUAGUCUUGAAUUGGAAUACCAUCCACUCUGACCGUCUCUGAAUGAGACAAUUUAGCAAUUUUUUAGCCUUUAUUCCCGCAGUGACAAAGAGUAGACUACGACGAUGUUGCCCACAUGACACGAUAUACUUAUAAUUUGAAAACUGUGGUCUAAUACGGUUUGAAAAUUGAACAAAUCACCGUGUAACACGUUAUUUGCAUAACAUCCUUUCACUCCAUCGAGAAUGGUUUUCAAUCAUUGGAGAAAUUGAACAAGAAAAUAACGAAAGGCAGACCAUUGAAUUAUAAAGCAGUCGACAGUCAUAACAGUUUGUCCCUUCAGACAUAUGUACGGCAUCGUAUUCCACCGUAUAGCACCGUAUAUCACCGUAUUCUAGGAGCUUCAAUUUUUGCCUAACCAGUUUUGAAAUGGGAACAGAAAGCACUAGUUUAAGUGCGCAGCUAAUAAUGUUGGCGUGAACUUCUCGGUAACAAGUGAACGUAUAGAAGCACGUAUAGAAGAACGUCGGCAGAGAUUUUAAAUUUCGUUCAGUCACAUUUGGACACAAUAUGCCGCGAAGUGAAAUGAAGUUAUUAAUUCGCGAUAUUCGGAAGUGGAGAGAAACAGUUUUUUUUUAAAUAUCCGGCAAGAGACGUGGUGUGUAGCUGCAGAAAGUUGGAGAUGUAGAAGCAGGCUACUUAUAGGGUUGCACACUUGGGGUACCGGGGCUUAAUCCGCUUGGACUGAAAAAUGUCUCAUACUCCAGUCGCAUGCUGGAAAAGAAAAUCUGUUACGUGUACGGUGGAAAUAGAAAACAAACAUGAUGGAAAUAGACAAUAGAUGAUAAAUUGAUAAUUUAUUAUCGCGAAAUUUGGAGGUCCAACACUCCUCAUCUUUGAGUGAUUUAGGUGAAUGCUACACAGUAUUUUAAAUUGUGUAUUACUUAUGUGCAAUGUAAUAUGUGAACUUCAAGCUUUGUGGAAAUAUAACUUUUCUCGUUAUUGAAAAGUGUGCAAAAUUCAAUCCCCAAAUACUUAUCAGCUGGAUAUC
rnacentral:lncRNA from 1 species